AGGUGGUGCAUGGCUGUCGUCAGCUCGUGUCGUGAGAUGUUGGGUUAAGUCCCGCAACGAGCGCAACCCUCGUCCCUAUGUUGCCAGCACGUGAUGGUGGGGACUCAUAGGAGACUGCCGGGGUCAACUCGGAGGAAGGUGGGGAUGACGUCAAGUCAUCAUGCCCCUUAUGUCCAGGGCUUCACGCAUGCUACAAUGGCCGGUACAAAGGGCUGCGAUGCUGUAAGGCGGAGCGAAUCCCAAAAAGCCGGUCUCAGUUCAGAUUGUAGGCUGCAACUCGCCUGCAUGAAGAUGGAGUUGCUAGUAACCGCAGGUCAGCACUACUGCGGUGAAUACGUUCCCGGGGUUU
rnacentral:rRNA from 1 species